AGGGUAUCGAUCCAUGACUUCUCUCUUGUUUUGUUUUCUGUUAAUAGCACACUGCUCCCGUACCCGAGCUCACGCAUGGGGAGCAGCCGGAGACCGUGACACCGCAGCGGCUGAGGCUGCUGACGCCAGCGAAGGUGGGAGGCAAAAACGUGAGCGAGAGGGGAACUUGGCUCAGGGCCACCCCUCCACUUUGUACGAUCGAGGAAAUCUAAAAUCCUCACUGCUGGUGACAGUGCCAGCUUUUAACGCUAGCUGCACCAGCACGGCGUAUUCAACUAUGUUAAUAUUUAAUUUUGGAAUUCAUCUAUUUUUUUUUUUCCCUUUGUGCAUCAUCCUGAAAUGUAUCUCCCCUAACGUCUGCCUGUUCGGUGAGGACAUUUACCUGCAGCCAACAUGAGCAGGGGAAUGCAGAGCCCGUGAGCUGUGGAGGAGGCACAUGCUUGGCUGAGCACUGCUGCUGACGGGGGUCUGUGCAAGGAUGCUCUGGGCUGCGCCGUGCGGUGAGUCACUGGAGUAGGACGGCACAAAAGCUCAUUUCCCUGCUUACUCAGAGGUAAUCAACCAGAAACAGCAGCGGAAGCUCUUCACAGGGAGGUUAUAAGCGUGCGUCUUGCCCCUUGGGCGCUGGGAAGUGUUUCUGUCGGAGCUAGGUAACUGCAAUCCUGCAAAAUGCCUCUGAAUGAAAAGGAGAGCUACCAAGCCCCAGUGCUUUCCUUGCCCAGCGGUGGAAGGGUGGGUGGGUUUGGUCCAACUUCAAAAUGGGAGUUUGGAUAAACACCUAGACGUGUAUGAGACCUGAAUGGAAAACCUGGGCUUGAGAAGUCCAUUAGGAACCGCUCAGCUGGUUCGAAGCACUCUGCUUUUGAUGAAGUGGCAUUUCCUGAUGAAAACCUGUUGUUUUGAUGGAAAAUUUCCCUCCAGCUGCAGGACACACCUCGCUGCCCGGCAGGGCUGCAAUCACCGGCGUCAGGAGGACAGGUGAGCAAGGAGGCCCGCUCAGCCCUCACCGGCCGUCAGGUCCAAAAAUUCCCCCUGAAACAGGUCAGGACCAGUGAGAAGCAGGAUGAGGUGCCGGCAGAUCAUCCUCCUCCCUCCUUCCCAUCUCCCUCAGCUGGCUGCUCUUCUCUGCCUGUUGACACAACGGGGCUAGGCAGGGCUCCUGUCUCCCUGAGCAGCUUCCAACUUGUUUAUUGACAAUGACAAAAGCGCAUUUUUACUUCUGUCAGCAGGGACAAUGCGGCUGUAAACGAGCAGGCUGCUUCGCCUCAUGCGUUAUCAGCAGAACUGCCAGCUAAGCACUAAUUCCUGAGCCCUUUUCUGGCUGAUUCUCAGCAAUGAUGUAUGGAGCAGAGCAGCAAAACAAGUUGCCUAUUUCCAUUUUGCUGUGCUGGUGGUUAGAAAAAAAAAUGACUUUAACCACUGAAGUGAUUAUACUGCAGAAAGAGGGGAUGCAGGUGCGUGCAGGUGAGCGUGCGGCCCCAACAUACCACUUCAUGGAUGUAUAUUUCUGAUCAGGAUUGAUAUAAAAUAACUGGGGGGUUGGUAAUAUCUAACUGUUUUGACAUAAUUCAGACUUUCUGACUAAAUCUGGUAAGAUGUAGAUAUCAGUAAUAAGGAGCUGAGGGCAGGGGGGUUAUUUGUGUGUUUCUCCAUCUAACAGUAAAUGUAUAUAAAAUAUAUGUAUAAGAAUACAAUAUAGCACAUUUAACGCAGAUUAUUGUAAGCCUAGCAUUGUAAGAAUAACAUUAGCUUGAGAUUGUUCCAGAAAGAUUGUUUUUGAUUAGCUUCAUCACCAUGCUUUCUGCACUGGAAACAUCAGCUCUGCUGCUUUGUUCCUUUAGCCUCCUCCCUUGGCACCGAGGGAGGGAAGGAAAGCAGUGGGGUGACAUUGCCGGCUUCACAAAAGGACAUGAGAGUGACACAAGAAUAAGACACGCCAAAGACACAGCAUGGAGUGGGCUGAACCAAAUAAACAUAAGCAAAUUUGUAACAAGUAAAACAGAGAAUAUUUAAGGUCACUUACUGGCAGGGGGAGGUUUAAGCAACACAUUUUUUUUAACCCGAUCUUUUGCAGCUUUUAAUAUACUUUUUCAUUGUCUGUUUUCUGGCCACACAGACGUCUGUGUUAUUGUUCACUUUUACCUUUCUCUCUAGUAUCAGGUCCUGUUACAGGCUUCUUGUUUUGAAACCCUUUUAAGGAAUUAAUGCAGAGAUUGUCACAGGCAGAAAUGGGAGCCAUGCUCUUUGGCUUCUGCCUCACAAUCAUCCUUCAGCAGCCAGCAGUGACAGCAUCUGGUGUGCAGGGGUUGGAUGGGACGGUCAGAGGAUGCCACAGCUCUGUUCUUUUUGAAGAAGCUCGUGUUUUUGUUAGCUCACAUUGACCAAGAUGUUGCAGCUUGUGCUCAGCCUCUGAGAAAAUGCUGGAUGCGGCUCAUGAAACAAGGCAGCCUGCAGCUGACGUGGCCGUGCAGAGCACAAAGCACUGAUCUCUUGCGAUAAAGCUCCUGACACGAGAUAGCACAGCCCUCCACACCAUCAGCUUCAAACGGCAGCAGGGGACUUGUGCUCAGCCUCAGCACUGAGCCCAGCUGGCAGCGCUGGAGUCGCCUCUGGGGAGGCAGAAUUUGAGCCAGGGCUGGUCCUGGUGCUGCUGCUCUUUGAGCAAGAGCACGCUGCACAGACUGGCUCCGACCAGCGGUCUGCAAGCACUUGGCAGAGGCUUUCUGCCAAAAAGGAGUAUAACAUAGCCACCUUUCUCACCAGUCACCCCCAACUCCCCGUGCUGUGGUCGCACCAUGUGAGUUAAGCUGCCACACGGAUGCCUUCGGCCCUCAGGCCAGGUAUUUUCAGAAAACAGCAGCAAACUUCAUCCAGGGGCACUCCUCCUGUGUUCCUGGGCGUUUUCGCCCUCCUCCGCCCAGCAGCAGCAGCAGCAGCAGCAGCUGUACAGGGGGAGUUUUCUGCUGGAUCGGCAGAGCCGCUGCACAACAUCUUUGAUCCAAAUGCGCCGUGUCAGUGCCAAAAAUGCCUUUUCGGAGGCGGGUCAGGGGGUGCGGCGGUGCUGCUGGGAUUGUGCUUGGAGCAGCAGCUGGAGGGGGGGGAGGGCUGCCAGAAACACCCUUCCUCAGCCAGCGCCCAUGGUUUGUAGAAAUGGGUCCUUUGUGCCGCUUUUUUACACGCUUCUAAAGAUGCUGGCUGCCACAAAACCACCCCUGCCAGCUCCCUGCCACAUUUUGGAAGCACAGCCCCUCAUCCAGGAGCUGGGCCAGCCCCAGCUGGGCUCCAGCACUGGCUCAGCCAGGGGGAAGCGACUUCCAAAAUCACUCUGUGAAGCUGCGUCUCAUUUAAAGUUGCAUGCCCAGGAGCAGACAGAAGAGGAAUUGUCAGCUGCGUUUCGCCCUGCUGCUCCAGAGCCCUCCGGUUUCACCUCCGACGGGACAGCUCGGGUCUGAGUGUUGGCACAAGAUGGGCUCCAUCCUGCCUUUGUGCUGUGCCACGGACCGGCUGCUGCCUGGUUUUCCUGGUGCCCGGGGCAGGAAGGGAUGGAAAGGGCUAAGUGAGAGGCCCUGUUUUCUCUCCGAGUUAUGAAAGAAGUUUAAACUUUUCUUACAGGUCAGUGGCCAGACAAUAUUCUGAAGUCAGUUCCACUCCAGGACUGAAGAAACUGAAGAGAAGUGAUUUGAAACAUUCCUGUUCAAGGCUUGCUUUGAGUGCAGCUUUCAUCAUGCCUGUGUAAACCCGAAGGAAAAUUACGUUUUAUUCACUGCAGAGUUCAUCGGGACCAUGCGUGAUGUCCACACUCACAAGUUAAUCAUAAAGUAAAUAUUUUGGGAGCAAACCAUGUAGGAGCCUGUGCUACCAGGCAGCGAUGGGAGUUGGCCACCAGUGGGGUUUCAGCAUGGGCUUGGUGUUGUGGUGUUUUUUGACAGAAGUGCUGACAGGCACCAGCAGCCCUGGCCAAAGCAAACAAGAGGAUUUUUCUUUCUCCCCUCUCCCUGAGCUAAAAGCAGUCCUUGGAGACAGAAAGCUGCAGCAUCGCAAGACUUUGGACCGAGAUGUGAGCUUUGGGACAUUCUUAUGGUUGCUUACAACCUGCCUGCAAACUCUUAAGCAAUGCCUUGGGGCCACGGGGAUUACGGGGCCCUGCUGGCUCUUGGGCCGAUGGUCAGAAACAGGCCAGGGUAGGCCAGUAGGGUCUGCGUGUGUUCUUCGAUGGGGCAAAGAUUAAUAAAUCUCCCAAUAAAUACCUGUUUCCUUAAGCCCUGCUGCUGUGUGCUUGUCACGAAGACCUGGCCUCCUCGUGUCCCUCCGGCUGGUUUCGUGGCUCACCAGGAGGGCCCAUGGCCGCGCGUCCUCUCGCUCUUUCCCCCAUGACAGGAAGGCUCGGGAACGGCAACACCCAGGUCUGCGUGCACCUUUCUGAGGAAACACGGUAGUGCUGGAUUGGGGAAUCCAUCUGGUGGCUCUUGGGGCCUGCAAAGCCGCUUCCCUGCCCAGCUCCACCUCAGCGGCCUCUUGCAGGCGAGGUGGGCCAGCAGGGAAAGCAGAAGCUGAGAGAGCUAAAAGCCUCGGGAAAUAAAAGCCAUUCCCCAGAAGGGAUCAACUCCUCUCCGUUCCUAUGUCGAGCUACAUCUAAACUCAUCUGCUUCUUAAUUGCAUCUUUAAGAGUCCCAGCCCUCCCCCAGUAAUGAUUUCUGAGGCCGCAGCAUGGCCCUUAAUGACAAACCAGGGCAGCAGGAGCGGGGCGUCAGGAGAGCUGAGAGCACCGCGUGGCACACGGCAAGAGAGCCUCGACUGUCUAAUGGCCUCUUCUGGCUCAGCGUCUGCCAAGUGUGGGCAGUGAAUAUUACUGUUUCCAAGAAAUGUCAUCGAAGCACCGCUCUGCAUUUCCUCAUGGUGUCAGAAACAAGCCACUGGGGAGCAGGGCACGCUCGAAACAGCAAAAGCGGCUCAGGAAAUCGCGGUUUCCUCACGGUACCGGGGGUGAGGAAGCAAAACUGCCUUGAUGGCAGCCGUCAACUCGCUACACCGACGUGGGUAACGGGGAUGCAGCAGCAGCACAUCUCCAGCAUCUUCAGCCUUCAAAUGAAUUCAGGGCUUUGCCUUCCAAAGAGUGUAUCGCUAGGUGCUCUCAUAUCCACAUGCAAGAUGCCACGAAGGAGAAGUAACAUGCAGUAGGACCAGCGUUAGUCAGGAAUGAGUUUCAGCUGUGUCCAGGAAGUUGAACCGUAAUCUCUGUAAUCACGUCUACAUGGAGGAAUGUGGAGAGGGAAGGAGAGGGAAGCUUCCCUGGCCCUACGUGUUUGGGAUGCAGCUGGGGGAACCUGGAGCUUCAGCAGGUUCUGCACUGGGCGCGGGUAUUUCAUGCCACACCUCACCUGUGCAGAGCAAUCUCUUCACAGAAAUACUUUCUGCGCAUCGUAUCGUGUGUCUGACCAUGCCGUAGCAUUUUCCAGUGUUUGUUAAAAUUACUGCA